rnacentral:rRNA from 1 species
ACGGAAGGCAGCAGUGGGGAAUAUUGCACAAUGGGCGAAAGCCUGAUGCAGCGACGCCGCGUGAGUGAAGAAGUAUCUCGGUAUGUAAAGCUCUAUCAGCAGGGAAGAAAAUGACGGUACCUGACUAAGAAGCCCCGGCUAACUACGUGCCAGCAGCCGCGGUAAUACGUAGGGGGCGAGCGUUAUCCGGAUUUACUGGGUGUAAAGGGAGCGUAGACGGUUUGGCAAGUCUGAAGUGAAAUGCGGGGGCUCAACUCCUGAACUGCUUUGGAAACUGUCGAACUAGAGUGCAGGAGAGGUAAGUGGAAUUCCUAGUGUAGCGGUGAAAUGCGUAGAUAUUAGGAGGAACACCAGUGGCGAAGGCGGCUUACUGGACUGUAACUGACGUUGAGGCUCGAAAGCGUGGGGAGCAAACAGGAUUAGAUACCCUGGUA